GUUUUUAUAGUUGAAUGACAACGGUGAUUUUUCGUAUCACAGGUUUUGGUAGUAGACCAAAUAAGAAUA
rnacentral:tRNA from 1 species